CUAUACCAUGCAGUCGAGCGAACAGAGAGGAGCUUGCUCCUUUGACGUUAGCGGCGGACGGGUGAGUAACACGUGGGCAACCUACCUUAUAGUUUGGGAUAACUCCGGGAAACCGGGGCUAAUACCGAAUAAUCUAUUUCACUUCAUGGUGAAAUACUGAAAGACGGCUUCUCCUUGUCCCUUUAAAAGGGGCCCGCGGCGCAUUACCUAGUUGGGGAGGUAACGGCUCACCAAGGCGACAAUCCGUACCCAACCUGAAAGGGGGAUCGGCCCCCCUGGGACUGAAACCCGGCCCAAACUCCUACGGGAGGCAGCAUUAGGGAACCUUCCACAAGGGGCAAAAGCCUGAUGAACCACCGCCGCGUGAUUGAAAAAGGUUUUCGGAUCGUAAAAUUCUGUUGUAAGGAAAAAACAAUUCCAGUAUUAACUGGUUGUCCUUUGACGGUCCUUUAUUGAAAGCCCCGGCUACUACGUGCCACAACCGCGGUAAUACGUAAGGUGCAAGCGUUGUCCGGAAUAUUGGGCGUAAAGCGCGCGCAGCGGUCCUUUAAGUCUGAUGUGAAAGCCCACGGCUCAACCGUGGAGGGUCAUUGGAAACUGGGGGACUUGAGUGCAGAAGAGAAAGUGGAAUUCCAGUGUAGCGUGAAAUGCGUGAGAUUUGGAGAACACAGUGCGAGGCGACUUCUGUCUGUACUGACCUGAGGCGCGAAGCGUGGG
rnacentral:rRNA from 1 species